AUUGAACGCUGGCGGCAUGCUUUACACAUGCAAGUCGAACGGCAGCGCGGGCUUCGGCCUGGCGGCGAGUGGCGAACGGGUGAGUAAUACAUCGGAACGUGCCCAGUAGUGGGGGAUAGCUCGGCGAAAGCCGGAUUAAUACCGCAUACGACCUGAGGGUGAAAGCGGGGGAUCUUCGGACCUCGCGCUAUUGGAGCGGCCGAUGGCAGAUUAGCUAGUUGGUGGGGUAAAGGCCUACCAAGGCGACGAUCUGUAGCUGGUCUGAGAGGACGACCAGCCACACUGGGACUGAGACACGGCCCAGACUCCUACGGGAGGCAGCAGUGGAGAAUUUUGGACAAUGGGCGAAAGCCUGAUCCAGCAAUGCCGCGUGUGUGAUGAAGGCCUUCGGGUUGUAAAGCACUUUUGGCGGGAACGAAAAGGACUGUGCCAAUACCACGGUUCGAUGACGGUACCCGCAGAAUAAGCACCGGCUAACUACGUG
rnacentral:rRNA from 1 species